GAUGAACGCUGGCGGCGUGUCUAAGGCAUGCAAGUCGAACGAGGUCUUCGGACCUAGUGGCAAACGGGUGAGUAACACGUUGGUAACCUACCUUUCGGCCAGGGAUAACGGGAAGAAAUUCCCGCUAAUACCUGAUAGUCUCCCAUCCCUUAUGGGUUUGGGAGUAAAGAUUUAUCACCGGAAGAGGGGCCUACGGACUAUCAGCUUGUUGGUGAGGUAAUGGCUCACCAAGGCUAUGACGGUUAGCUGGUCUGAGAGGAUGACCAGUCACAUUGGGACUGAGACACUGCCCAAACUCCUACGGGAGGCUGCAGUCGAGAAUCUUCCACAAUGGGGGCAACCCUGAUGGAGCGACGCCGCGUGCAGGAUGACGGCCUUCGGGUUGUAAACUGCUUUUAUAUGGGAACAAAUUUUGAGCUUACCAUAUGAAUAAGCACCGACUAACCACG
rnacentral:rRNA from 1 species